rnacentral:lncRNA from 1 species
ACCUCACUCUGUAUCCUCAGCAUCUAGAACAGUGCUCGGUCCGUACUGAAUGCACAGACUGACAAUUUCCUAACCUCUAACCAAACACACACUCAGAGAUGAUCAUGGAAAGCAAAGGAUGAACUAACUGCUCCGGGGCCUUGGGAAGUCUGCAGCUCCUGAAACCACACUUCAGAGAGCAGUAGAGAGUCCAGUGUCCCUAGGCAGCUGCCACCUCUCCUUCCCUGGCUCAUCAACUCCCACUCCACUGAAGUGGAGGGUCCAGGGGAGGGAGGGCCCAGCAUCUAGGGCUUCAAGCGAUUCUCCUGCCUCAGCCUCCCUAGUAGCUGGGAUUACAGG